UACAGAGGGGGCUAGCGUUGUCCGGAUUUAUUGGGCGUAAGGAGCGUGUAGGCGGCCAGAUAGGUCUGCUGUGAAAACUCGAGGCUCAACCUCGAGAUGUCGGCGGAAACCAUUUGGCUAGAGUCCGGAAGAGGAAAGUGGAAUUCCUGGUGUAGCGGUGAAAUGCGCAGAUAUCAGGAAGAACACCCGUGGCGAAGGCGGCUUUCUGGGACGGUACUGACGCUGAGACGCGAAAGCGUGGGGAGCGAACAGG
rnacentral:rRNA from 1 species